GGAGAUGGAGAAUGGAUAAUGAGAAUGGAAAGAUCAAAAUGCAUAAGAUGGAAUAAGAUGUACCAAUCCAUAUGUAUUGACCAAUUGACAUUGAAAGUCAAAGUCAAACAAUGAUAAAUCAGAAAUGAGAUGAAGAUUGGAGGUCAAACAGUAAGCAAAAUAUUUUUGGCAUUUUCAAUAUUAAAAUAAACUUGAAUUAAAAUAAAAAGAAAGGUCAAACUUCAAAAUCACUUCAAAUCAAUCUUGAAAGGUCCAAGUAAU
rnacentral:lncRNA from 1 species